rnacentral:lncRNA from 10 species
AGCCAUGGUUCCUGUGGGAGGCGAUGAAAGAGAGAAGAGCCCAAGCAAAAACAGCUCAGGGAGGGGGCACCUGCGGCAGAACAGAGAGCCACCGAGGAGGAGGGACAAAAGCCGGCGGAGCGUCACGCACACGCACGCACAUGCGCACGCCAUAAACCCAUAGCUGGCUCUUCCAAGCGGGUUUCUACUGGAUCAUCAACAGUGGCCAAAAGAAAAAGGGCCCCACGUAGAAGCUGAUAUGAGGCGGGGCUCCAGAAGUGAGAAGCAGCAGGCUUAUCCUGCGAAGUAGCCAGCCAGCCUCCUCGCGACGUGAUGGGACAGAGGAGACAGAACGGAGGUUGUUCGCAAAGCUUCUAUCAUAGGAAAAACUGCCCAGGAGAGGGGCUGUGAUGGGAUCAGAUGAGAGGCUGCAUUUGGUGCACCCGGCCCAGGCUCAGUAAAGUUCCUAACUCCCACAGCCCCAGAGUCCUGCCCUAUGCCCUAGGGGCAGGAAUGCUGAUGUCAUGAAGCUUCCACUAAAAACCCCAGAGGACUGGGUUCUGAGAGCUUCCCUAUGGCUGAACACACGGAGGUUCCUGAAGCUUGUGCAUCCCUCUCCCCAUACCUCGCCCUACACAUCUGUUCAUCUGUAUCCUUUGUAAUAUUCUUUAUAAUAAACCAGUAAAUGUUUAAAAAAUACA